rnacentral:rRNA from 1 species
AGAGUUUGAUCCUGGCUCAGAAUGAGCGCUGGCGGCGUGCCUAACACAUGCAAGUCGGAUGUGCCCGCAAGGGUGCAUGGCAGACGGGUGAGUAACGCGUGGGGAAUCUACCUCUUUGUGGGGAAUAACGCUCCGAAAGGAGUGGUAAUACCGCAUGAGAUCCAUGGCUGGAAUGUUGUGGAUGAAACCUGGGGACCUCCGGGCCUGGGGCAAGGAGAGGAUCCUGCGUCUGAUUAGCUAGUUGGUGAGGUAACGGCCCACCAAGGCAACGAUCAGUAGCCGGCCUGAGAGGGUGAUCGGCCACACUGGAACUGAGACACGGUCCAGACUCCUACGGGAGGCAGCAGUGGGGAAUUUUGCGCAAUGGGCGAAAGCCUGACGCAGCAACGCCGCGUGGGUGAUGAAGGU